AGGAAAAAGAAAGAAAGAGCUUUUGGAAUCUGGUUCUCUGCCUACUGAUUAAGCCAAUGUUAAAGAAAACACACGAAUCAA